rnacentral:rRNA from 1 species
CCCUAAUACAUGCAAGUCGAGCGAACAGAUGAGAAGCUUGCUUCUCUAGUGUAGCGGCGGACGGGUGAGUAACACGUGGUUAACCUACCUAUAAGACUGGGAUAACUCCGGGAAACCGGGGCUAAUACCGGAUAAUAUUUUGAACCGCAUGGUUCGAUAGUGAAAGACGGUUUCGGCUGUCACUUAUAGAUGGACCCGCGCCGUAUUAGCUAGUUGGUAAGGUAACGGCUUACCAAGGCGACGAUACGUAGCCGACCUGAGAGGGUGAUCGGCCACACUGGAACUGAGACACGGUCCAGACUCCUACGGGAGGCAGCAGUAGGGAAUCUUCCGCAAUGGGCGAAAGCCUGACGGAGCAACGCCGCGUGAGUGAUGAAGGUCUUCGGAUCGUAAAACUCUGUUGUUAGGGAAGAACAAAUUUGUUAGUAACUGAACAAGUCUUGACGGUACCUAACCAGAAAGCCACGGCUAACUACGUGCCAGCAGCCGCGGUAAUACGUAGGUGGCAAGCGUUAUCCGGAAUUAUUGGGCGUAAAGCGCGCGUAGGCGGUUUCUUAAGUCUGAUGUGAAAGCCCACGGCUCACCCGUGGUGGGUCAUUGGAAACUGGGAAACUUGAGUGCAGAAGAGGAGAGUGUAUUCCAUGUGUAGCGUGAAAUGCGCAGAGAUAUGGAAGGAACACCAGUGGCGAAGGCGGCUCUCUGGUCUGAACUGACGCUGAUGUGCGAAAGCGUGGGGAUCAAACAGGAUUAGAUACCCUGGUAGUCACGCCGUAACGAUGAGUGCUAAGUGUCAGGGGUUUGCCGCCCUCUUACUGCUGCAGCUAACGCAUUAAGCACUCCGCCUGGGGAGUACGACCGCAAGGUUGAAACUCAAAGGAAUUGACGGGGACCCGCACAAGCGGUGGAGCAUGUGGUUUAAUUCGAAGCAACGCGAAGAACCUUACCAAAUCUUGACAUCCUUUGACCGCUCUAGAGAUAGAGUCUUCCCCUUCGGGGGACAAAGUGACAGGUGGUGCAUGGUUGUCGUCAGCUCGUGUCGUGAGAUGUUGGGUUAAGUCCCGCAACGAGCGCAACCCUUAAGCUWAGUUGCCAUCAUUAAGUUGGGCACUCUAGGUUGACUGCCGGUGACAACGU